GAAAUGCGAUAAUUAAUGUGAAUUGCAGAAUUCAGUGAAUCAUCGAGUCUUUGAACGCACAUUGCGCCCCCUGGUAUUCCGGGGGGCAUGCCUGUCCGAGCGUCAUUGCUGCCCUCAAGCACGGCUUGUGUGUUGGGCUUCCGUCCCUGGCAACGGGGACGGGCCCAAAAGGCAGUGGCGGCACCAUGUCUUGUCCUCGAGCGUAUGGGGCUUUGUCACCCGCUCCCGUAGGUCCAGCUGGCAGCUAGCCUCGCAACCAAUCUUUUUAACCAGGUUGACCUCGGAUCAGGUAGGGAUACCCGCUGAACUUAAGC
rnacentral:misc_RNA from 1 species